CGCGUAGGCGGCCAAUUAAGUCAAAUGUGAAAUCCCCGAGCUUAACUUGGGAAUUGCAUUCGAUACUGGGAAGCUAGAGUAUGGGAGAGGAUGGUAGAAUUCCAGGUGUAGCGGUGAAAUGCGUAGAGAUCUGGAGGAAUACCGAUGGCGAAGGCAGCCAUCUGGCCUAAUACUGACGCUGAGGUACGAAAGCAUGGGGAGCAAACAGGAUUAGAUACCCCAGUA
rnacentral:rRNA from 1 species